rfam:Triticum aestivum genome assembly, contig: Triticum_aestivum_CS42_TGACv1_scaffold_328278_4BS
CAAAUACUCCCUCCGUCCGGAAAUACUUGUCAUCAAUAAAAGGAAAUGUAUCUAGACGUAUUUUAGUUUUAGAUACAUCUCUUUUUAUCCAUUUUGAUGACAAGUAUUUUCGGACGGAGGGAGUAUUUA